rnacentral:rRNA from 1 species
CAGGUGCCAGCAGCCGCGGUAAUUCCAGCUCCAAUAGCGUAUAUUAAAGUUGUUGCAGUUAAAAAGCUCGUAGUUGGAUUUUGGAUUGGUCUUGGCGGGUCCGUCGAAAGAUGUGUACUGGUCGGGCUGGUCCCUGGGCCCGGGUGGUGCGUGUGGCCUUUGUUGGUCGUGCGUAUUGGUCGGGACGCUUACUGUGAAGAAAUUAGAGUGUUCAAAGCAGGCAUUUAGCUUGAAUACAUUAGCAUGGAAUAAUGGAAUAGGACUUUGGUUCCUAUUUUGUUGGUGCGUAGGACCGAAGUAAUGAUUAAUAGGGACAGGCGGGGGCCUAGGUAUUCCGAAGUCAGUGGUGAAAUACUUGGAUUUUCGGAAGACCAACUGCUGCGAAAGCGUCUGCCAAGGAUGUUUUCUUCAAUCAAGAACGAAAGUUAGGGGAUCGAAGACCAUUAGACACGGUUUUAGUCCUAACCAUA